GAUGAACGCUGGCGGCGUGCCUAAUACAUGCAAGUCGAGCGAACGGACGAGAAGCUUGCUUCUCUGAUGUUAGCGGCGGACGGGUGAGUAACACGUGGAUAACCUACCUAUAAGACUGGGAUAACUUCGGGAAACCGGAGCUAAUACCGGAUAAUAUUUUGAACCGCAUGGUUCAAAAGUGAAAGACGGUCUUGCUGUCACUUAUAGAUGGAUCCGCGCUGCAUUAGCUAGUUGGUAAGGUAACGGCUUACCAAGGCAACGAUGCAUAGCCGACCGGAGAGGGUGAUCGGCCACACUGGAACUGAGACACGGUCCAGACUCCUACGGGAGGCAGCAGUAGGGAAUCUUCCGCAAUGGGCGAAAGCCUGACGGAGCAACGCCGCGUGAGUGAUGAAGGUCUUCGGAUCGUAAAACUCUGUUAUUAGGGAAGAACAUAUGUGUAAGUAACUGUGCACAUCCUGACGGUACCUAAUCAGAAAGCCACGGCUAACUACGUG
rnacentral:rRNA from 1 species